CAAAGAAAUGGAGUGAUAGGCUACAGGGAAAAAUAGGGUAAAGAGAGGGUUUAUUUGAGAUUAUUAAAAUAAUAGCAUAUAAGUAGAUGAAUGAAAAUAAUUCAACUGGAGAAAAAAAUUGAUGAUGCAAGAGAGGAGCAUUUCUGGAGUAAUAUUCCUGAGAAUGUGAGAAGGCUGGAAUCUGAUAAACAAUUGAAGAGGCUGUCCUUACUAGGAACACGGACACCUCAUCUACAGCAAGAGGAAAAUACAGAUAUUUUGCCCUUUUGGAAACUGAAGAUAAAACAGAAAAAGAAAAGAAUUUUAAGAUAUGUUAAUCUAGCAAAACUAACAUAAGAAUGGCCACCGUGAAUUUCAUGAAAUUUUGCCACAGAGCAAUACUAAAAACUGAAUGAUUAUGCCUUUUUCCAUAUUUUAAUUAAAACUGAAAUGAAAAUACUCACUGUUGGAAAGUAAAGAAAUUAAGCCAUA